GCCUCUGUGGAUCAGUGUUAGAUCACCUCUUCAAAAUAUUGUUGCAGGUACAUUGCACUGCAAGAGGAGCCGUGGGUUCAAAUCCCACCGGAGGCA